ACAGGGGAAAACAGAGUGUGCUCAGUGAAUCUCAGGUAAUACAGGAAAAAUACCUAAUAUCAAAAUAUUCUUACUAGUUACCUCUGUGUGGUGGAAUUGAUUUUUAUUUAUUUAUUUUUGUACCUUUUGGAAUACUCUAAAAUCUCUAUCGUAAGCAUGGAUGAUUUUCAUCUUCAAGAAAAAAAUCGUUUUAAAAUUCAGCAUCAAUAACAAAAUCAGCAAAAAGACAGAUCCUUUGAGGCUACAGUCCCACCCCAGACCAGGAGGCAGAAAGCCUGAACUGAGGUCUCAAGUCUUAACACCACCUGGCUACACGACCUUGGGUCACACACCUAACCACUGGCAAGGCCGUUACUAAAACGCAGCUCCCCUGAUUUCUGCAUGUGCCCCCUUCCUCCUCAUACUCUUCCUUCCGUGCCCUCCGUGGAUUAGAAGCAUUGCUUCCUUGCGCCAAAGAUAAGAAAAAUGGAGAGUGACUGGGCCAGCUCACGUACGUGUUCCAUUAAGUGAGCAAGGCCACAGAGAAACCUGCACUCCUCAGUGCCAGUGACGUGACUUUCCGAAUGAGCCAAUGCUGCUUGCAGAAACACAGGGCUAAUUGGCUCUUUCGAGGCAGCGGAGAAUCUCGGGGUGAUGCAUUGUGCGCUAUUCAAUGGCGAGUUGCUGUGACAGGGGGCUGCAAAUGCCACUCUGGGGAUGUGUUAAUGAAGGCUCAGCAUGCACAACACAAGAGGCAAUUAUUCUGCUCGCCCUGGCACUGGCUCCUCCUGGAAGGAGAGCUGCUGACAGGGUUGGAAGGAGCUCAGUGGAAAGUUCACCGAGAAAGCCAGAUGGAGAAAGAACAGGACUUGCUGUCUGGACCAGCCAUCGGCAAACAGAUGGUGCGCUUGUCCAUCUGUGCUGCCCUUCUCCUGGAGGACAUGAGGAGGAGGUGGCUCGGUGGGAGAAGAAAGGAGACUCAGCUGGUGGAGGGAAAGAGAUCUGGGCUGCUUCCGGCCGCCUAGAAGCCUCCAUCUCUGAUAAUAACUCUACAGCCUCUGGAGCUGCCUUCCCUCCUGGCCUGGAGAUGCCAUCCAGAUGCCAUCACAUGGCCAAGCAGUUCUUUGCAAAGGGUAUUUUUGAAAAGAGGCAAAAGAAGAGAGCACUGGGCGUCUGCAAGAGAGAAGGAAAGGGCUCCUUAAAGUCUGCCGCAGAGCCUGCUAAACUGCAUGGCCUCAGACAAGCCAGCCAAACACUCUGUGCCUCAGUUUGAAGAUAAAACAAGGUCAGAGCUUUCUACGGGGUUUGGAGCCAUAUUUACAGAAUGGCAAGGGGGUCUGAUGCAUAACAACUUCUGUUGGUUGUCAGCACCCCGAUUCUGCCAUUGUCUCCACAGCCUAUGGACACCAAGGAAUGCUGUGCAUGAACACUAACUGAUCUCCAGCUACACACGGCGGGCAGGGAGGCUCUGUCCAGAUUCUAUGUCCCGCUAGCUUACAAGUCCCACCUCCUGCCAAUGGCUGACGUCACACUCCACCUGCUGAGCUGGAAGAGAAACCGCAGAGGGAGGCAUCUCACGGGCAGUGAGGUUUAUCUCAGAAGCUGCCGGAGUGUGACAGGAAGGGCAUUGACCUUGGAGGCCGCUGGACCGGGGUGUGACUGCCAUCUGCACUGCCUGCUGCCCAGGCCCCUGGGCGGGUCAUGUGGCGUCUCGGCACCUCAGCUUCUUCAUCUGUAUUGAACACACAGAGGAGCCUUUUCAAAGUGGGUAAUGGUCACUCUAACUUUAAAAAAGAAAGUGUCUAAGACAGGAGGAUAAGGGCUCUGGGAGUUCCCUGAGGGAUCAGAGCCAGGCAGAGCCUGGGCUGGGCUGAGUGUUGAAGGCCCAGUGGGUCUGGUCGGGUGACCAGGGGUGGGGACUGUAUCAGGGCAGGGGGUCCAGGGCGCCCUGUCGAGAAGUCAUCCUCCAGUGGGUGGAGUUGAGUGAUGUGCUGUGGCGCAGCUGAGAGUGAGAUUGGAGAGACUGGUGGUGCCUGACCCCCGUUUCCUGAUGGGGCCCAGGGCAGGGUUGUGGACAAAUGCUGGCCACGGAGCGCCAACAACUGCAAUAGAGUUCCACACAGCCAUCCAUCCCUUCAUUUGCUCAGCAAUACUCAAGGAGCAUUUGUUAGUGCCCAUGACAUUCCAGACCAACGUCAGAUGUGGGGACACAGCCGGAAAGAGAUCCAAGUCCUGGUCUCCAGGAGAACACAGACUAAGAGGCCUCCUGUGGUUGGCCCAGGGCCCUCUUGUGAGCUCUGUGACCCGGAGCAAGUGACUCACGUUUUCUGGACUUCUACCUCAUCAGUGGGGACAGUGACUGGACUUCCCCGUGGGGUUGAUUAGAGGAGUAACGACGUGUGAGAUUAUGACGGAAAAUAUUUAGCACGCCCUGAGCACUAAUAAAUGGCAACAUUUUAUUGACGUUCA